CCGGUAAACGGCGGCCGUAACUAUAACGGUCCUAAGGUAGCGAAAUUCCUUGUCGGGUAAGUUCCGACCUGCACGAAUGGCGUAAUGAUGGCCAGGCUGUCUCCACCCGAGACUCAGUGAAAUUGAACUCGCUGUGAAGAUGCAGUGUACCCGCGGCAAGACGGAAAGACCCCGUGAACCUUUACUAUAGCUUGACACUGAACAUUGAGCCUUGAUGUGUAGGAUAGGUGGGAGGCUUUGAAGUGUGGACGCCAGUCUGCAUGGAGCCGACCUUGAAAUACCACCCUUUAAUGUUUGAUGUUCUAACGUUGACCCGUAAUCCGGGUUGCGGACAGUGUCUGGUGGGUAGUUUGACUGGGGCGGUCUCCUCCUAAAGAGUAACGGAGGAGCACGAAGGUUGGCUAAUCCUGGUCGGACAUCAGGAGGUUAGUGCAAUGGCAUAAGCCAGCUUGACUGCGAGCGUGACGGCGCGAGCAGGUGCGAAAGCAGGUCAUAGUGAUCCGGUGGUUCUGAAUGGAAGGGCCAUCGCUCAACGGAUAAAAGGUACUCCGGGGAUAACAGGCUGAUACCGCCCAAGAGUUCAUAUCGACGGCGGUGUUUGGCACCUCGAUGUCGGCUCAUCACAUCCUGGGGCUGAAGUAGGUCCCAAGGGUAUGGCUGUUCGCCAUUUAAAGUGGUACGCGAGCUGGGUUUAGAACGUCGUGAGACAGUUCGGUCCCUAUCUGCCGUGGGCGCUGGAGAACUGAGGGGGGCUGCUCCUAGUACGAGAGGACCGGAGUGGACGCAUCACUGGUGUUCGGGUUGUCAUGCCAAUGGCACUGCCCGGUAGCUAAAUGCGGAAGAGAUAAGUGCUGAAAGCAUCUAAGCACGAAACUUGCCCCGAGAUGAGUUCUCCCUGACCCUUUAAGGGUCCUGAAGGAACGUUGAAGACGACGACGUUGAUAGGCCGGGUGUGUAAGCGCAGCGAUGCGUUGAGCUAACCGGUACUAAUGAACCGUGAGGCUUAACCUUACAACGCCGAAGCUGUU
rnacentral:rRNA from 1 species